UACGCAUGUAUAUACUGAUCAUAUGCGUUGCGUAUACAAAAUUUGGGCCAUAUCCUUAUUAUUGUCCGGGUCCAGCCCAAAAGGGACUGACCUGGCCCAAAAUCUUUUCCUUUACAAUCAACAAAAAAACGACCCCUUCAUUUGGUUUUCAAAAAAAAAAAAAAAAACCAACGGGCAAAACCCUACCACUAGGCACAAACGUGCACCUCCAGCUAGUUGUCAGCGGUAGCAUGUCCUUUUCUUUUCAAAAAUUGCAAUGGAUUGUAGCUGGCUUGUCUUGUAAGUUUUGGGGAUUUUGAAUUUCAAUUUUAAAUUGGCAUGUUUCAUUCAGGUUCUAUAAAUAGAAACCCCUUGCUCUUCAUUUUGAAAAAAAAAAAAAAAGAGGAACAGAAAAGUCCUAAGGCCGAAUUUCUGGUCUUUGCAUCUCAAAGGGGUUUUUUUUACACCUCUUAAGGGCAAGAACACUCAGAAACCCGGCUAAGCCGUUGAGUUUCGAGGACGUUCUCGCUCGAAUAUAAUUUUUUGGAAGUGGUUUCCGUUCGUCGGAAAUCGAUUCGGGUGAAAGGUAUUUCAUCGUCAACCCCCAUCGCUGCUCGAUAAAAAGGUUACGAAGAAGAGCAGGUUCGUGAUACGCAUACGUAGUAGGAGAACUUGAUGCUUUCUAGACUUAUUGGUGAGCCCACGCCCUUGUUCGUGGGACACCUCAUCUAUUUAGUUUUAUUGUUUAAGUUUUCGAGCCGUGUUCCGAUGUACGAGACUCUGUAUAUGUUCUUAGAAGCUCCAUAGUUAGACGUUGUGCUAUGGGUAGAUUGUUGAACUCUCGUAUGACUUGUUGGUGCGUUUGCCAUGGUUAAGACAUUUUAUUUCUAUUA